GCGAGCGAACGGGGAGGAGCCCAGAGCCUGAAUCAGUGUGUGUGUUAGUGGAAGCGUCUGGAAAGGCGCGCGAUACAGGGUGACAGCCCCGUACACAAAAAUGCACAUAUUGUGAGCUCGAUGAGUAGGGCGGGACACGUGGUAUCCUGUCUGAAUAUGGGGGGACCAUCCUCCAAGGCUAAAUACUCCUGACUGACCGAUAGUGAACCAGUACCGUGAGGGAAAGGCGAAAAGAACCCCGGCGAGGGGAGUGAAAAAGAACCUGAAACCGUGUACGUACAAGCAGUGGGAGCCUCUUAAUGGGGUGACUGCGUACCUUUUGUAUAAUGGGUCAGCGACUUAUAUUCUGUAGCAAGGUUAACCGAAUAGGGGAGCCGAAGGGAAACCGAGUCUUAACUGGGCGUUAAGUUGCAGGGUAUAGACCCGAAACCCGGUGAUCUAGCCAUGGGCAGGUUGAAGGUUGGGUAACACUAACUGGAGGACCGAACCGACUAAUGUUGAAAAAUUAGCGGAUGACUUGUGGCUGGGGGUGAAAGGCCAAUCAAACCGGGAGAUAGCUGGUUCUCCCCGAAAGCUAUUUAGGUAGCGCCUCGUGAAUUCAUCUCCGGGGGUAGAGCACUGUUUCGGCAAGGGGGUCAUCCCGACUUACCAACCCGAUGCAAACUGCGAAUACCGGAGAAUGUUAUCACGGGAGACACACGGCGGGUGCUAACGUCCGUCGUGAAGAGGGAAACAACCCAGACCGCCAGCUAAGGUCCCAAAGUCAUGGUUAAGUGGGAAACGAUGUGGGAAGGCCCAGACAGCCAGGAUGUUGGCUUAGAAGCAGCCAUCAUUUAAAGAAAGCGUAAUAGCUCACUGGUCGAGUCGGCCUGCGCGGAAGAUGUAACGGGGCUAAACCAUGCACCGAAGCUGCGGCAGCGACACUAUGUGUUGUUGGGUAGGGGAGCG
rnacentral:rRNA from 1 species